rnacentral:rRNA from 2 species
CUGCCAGUAGUCAUAUGCUUGUCUCAAAGAUUAAGCCAUGCAUGUCUCAGUACAAGCCAUAUUAAGGUGAAACCGCGAAAGGCUCAUUAAAUCAGUUAUGGUUCCUUAGAUCGUACCCACAUUUACUUGGAUAACUGUGGUAAUUCUAGAGCUAAUACAUGCAAACAGAGCUCCGACCGGAGACGGAAGGAGUGCUUUUAUUAGAUCAAAACCAAUCGGCGGCAAUUGGGUUUACUUAAUUGUUCGUCGCACUUUUUGGUGACUCUGAAUAACUUUUGGCUGAUCGCACGGUCUCGUACCGGCGACGCAUCUUUCAAAUGUCUGCCUUAUCAACUGUCGAUGGUAGGUUCUGCGCCUACCAUGGUUGUAACGGGUAACGGGGAAUUAGGGUUCGAUUCCGGAGAGGGAGCCUGAGAAACGGCUACCACAUCCAAGGAAGGCAGCAGGCGCGCAAAUUACCCACUCCCGGCACGGGGAGGUAGUGACGAAAAAUAACGAUACGGGACUCAUCCGAGGCCCCGUAAUCGGAAUGAGUACACUUUAAAUCCUUUAACAAGGACCAAUUGGAGGGUAAGUCUGGUGCCAGCAGCCGCGGUAAUUCCAGCUCCAAUAGCGUAUA